rnacentral:rRNA from 1 species
UCUUCGGACAAUGGAUGUAGAGGAAAGUGGCGGACGGGUGAGUAACGCGUGAGGAACCUGCCUUGAAGAGGGGGACAACAGUUGGAAACGACUGCUAAUACCGCAUGACGCAUAAGAGUCGCAUGGCUUUUAUGCCAAAGAUUUAUCGCUUCAAGAUGGCCUCGCGUCUGAUUAGCUAGUUGGCGGGGUAACGGCCCACCAAGGCGACGAUCAGUAGCCGGACUGAGAGGUUGAACGGCCACAUUGGGACUGAGAUACGGCCCAGACUCC